UUUCAAUCGACUGUUUUCUGCUUGUUUAUUUUUCUUGGGUAUGGAUUGUGACUUUUUGCAAUGAGAACGGGUUCACGACGUGCUACCUGAUUCUCAAUAGGGUGUAUAGACGGGGUGAUUUGAGACGAUCAUUUUGAUACCAAAAUCGAAUACGAUAGCUCCUGUUUAGCAGUUCCAAGAACCGACUGAGUCAUCUCUUUCGAUUCUUUGAUAUGUCGACUUAAUCGCUUAUUCCUUGCCGCCAAAAACCACAACAAGUCCUGGACGACAAGUUCUGCACAACAGCUGGACGACAACAACAGCUGGACUUCCAAAAACAAUUGAGGAGUCUUUGGAGCGUAUCAUCGACUACUGUACAACAAAUCGACAUUGUAGUUGUUUAGAACGACACUGGUAGCAACAUGAGCGUAAAGAGCUUGUCUUUCCAACACAACUCAGCAGGACAACAGUCCAUCGAUUGAGUCAACCGUGAGCAAGUAUUGUACUAACAGUGUCCAGGACUUGAGCCUUUUUUUUCACUCUGAAAAGUAAUUCUUCAUUCGUUAGCAGUCGCACGAAAAGACAAUCUCAGAAACCCUACCAUCAUCGUCUACGAACCACUCAACCCCGAAGCUCUUCCGAAUCUGUUGCUGCAAGUGGUGGGUUGAGAUCAAGCAAGUCUUCGUACACACUCACA
rnacentral:misc_RNA from 1 species